GUGUCAGCCGCCGCGGUAAUACAGAGGGUGCGAGCGUUAAUCGGAUUUACUGGGCGUAAAGCGUGCGUAGGCGGCCAAUUACGUCAAAUGUGAAAUCCCCGAGCUUAACUUGGGAAUUGCAUUCGAUACUGGUUGGCUAGAGUAUGGGAGAGGAUGGUAGAAUUCCAGGUGUAGCGGUGAAAUGCGUAGAGAUCUGGAGGAAUACCGAUGGCGAAGGCAGCCAUCUGGCCUAAUACUGACGCUGAGGUACGAAAGCAUGGGGAGCAAACAGGAUUAGAAACCCGCGUAGUCC
rnacentral:rRNA from 1 species